GGAGCGGUGGCAGAACGGCUAAUGCACACGCCUCGAAAGCGUGCGUCCGAAAGGACUUGGGGGUUCGAAUCCCUCCCGCUCCG
rnacentral:tRNA from 1 species